GAUGAACGCUGGCGGCGUGCCUAAUACAUGCAAGUAGAACGCUGAAGGAAGGAGCUUGCUCUUUCCGGAUGAGUUGCGAACGGGUGAGUAACGCGUAGGUAACCUGCCUGGUAGCGGGGGAUAACUAUUGGAAACGAUAGCUAAUACCGCAUAACAGUAGAUGUUGCAUGAUAUCUACUUAAAAGGUGCAAUUGCACCACUACCAGAUGGACCUGCGUUGUAUUAGCUAGUUGGUGAGGUAACGGCUCACCAAGGCGACGAUACAUAGCCGACCUGAGAGGGUGAUCGGCCACACUGGGACUGAGACACGGCCCAGACUCCUACGGGAGGCAGCAGUAGGGCAUCUUCGGCAAUGGACGGAAGUCUGACCGAGCAACGCCGCGUGAGUGAAGAAGGUUUUCGGAUCGUAAAGCUCUGUUGUAAGAGAAGAACGAGUGUGAGAGUGGAAAGUUCACACUGUGACGGUAUCUUACCAGAAAGGGACGGCUAACUACGUG
rnacentral:rRNA from 1 species